GCCCAGAGCAACACCCUGUGGUGUAUUGGAC
rnacentral:piRNA from 1 species